GUGCCAGCAGCCGCGGUAAUACGUAGGUGGCAAGCGUUGUCCGGAUUUAUUGGGCGUAAAGCGAGCGCAGGCGGUUUCUUAAGUCUGAUGUGAAAGCCCCCGGCUCAACCGGGGAGGGUCAUUGGAAACUGGGAGACUUGAGUGCAGAAGAGGAGAGUGGAAUUCCAUGUGUAGCGGUGAAAUGCGUAGAUAUAUGGAGGAACACCAGUGGCGAAGGCGGCUCUCUGGUCUGUAACUGACGCUGAGGCUCGAAAGCGUGGGGAGCAACCAGGAUUAGAUAC
rnacentral:rRNA from 1 species